rnacentral:rRNA from 1 species
UAGGGAGCAAGCGUUGUCCGGAAUCAUUGGGCGUAAAGCGCGCGUAGGCGGCCCUGUAAGUCCGCUGUGAAAGUCAAAGGCUCAACCUUUGAAAGCCGGUGGAUACUGCAGGGCUAGAGUCCGGAAGAGGCGAGUGGAAUUCCUGGUGUAGCGGUGGAAUGCGCAGAUAUCAGGAGGAACACCAAUAGCGAAGGCAGCUCGCUGGGACGGUACUGACGCUAAGGCGCGAAAGCGUGGGGAGCGAACAGG